GGAGUUAGCCGGUGCUUCUUCUGUGAGUGAUGUCCUUCCUGCCGGCUAUUAACCCGCAGGCCUUCUUCCUCACUGAAAGUGCUUUACAACCCGAAGGCCUUCUUCACACACGCGGCAUGGCUGGAUCAGGGUUGCCCCCAUUGUCCAAUAUUCCCCACUGCUGCCUCCCGUAGUAGUCUGGGCCGUGUCUCAGUCCCAGUGUGGCUGAUCAUCCUCUCAGACCAGCUACGGAUCGUCGCCUUGGUGAGCCGUUACCUCACCAACCAGCUAAUCCGACAUAGGCUCAUCCGAUAGCGCGAGGCCCGAAGGUCCCCCGCUUUCCCCCGUAGGGCGUAUGCGGUAUUAGCCUGGGUUUCCCCAGGUUAUCCCCCACUACCGGGCAGAUUCCUAUGCAUUACUCACCCGUCCGCCGCUCGCCACCAGGGAGCAAGCUCCCCGUGCUGCCGCUCGACUUGCAUGUGUUAGGCCUGCCGCCAGCGUUCAAUCUGAGCCAUGAUCAAACUCUGA
rnacentral:rRNA from 1 species